CGUGCACUGGUGGGGUCCCUCAGCCUGGCCUGUGCCCUCUCACAAUCUAGGACCCCUCAGGGGAUGUCAGAGAGCUGGUUUCGGCCCAAUCCCUGCAGGCCAGGCCGAGGGACCCCACCAGUGCAUG
rnacentral:pre_miRNA from 1 species